rnacentral:misc_RNA from 1 species
UACUUUAUAAAAUUGUGUGAUCCUUGCUUAGCGUUGUCUCGAUUCAACAAAUAUUAUAGUGUCAGUGUUUAUCGCCCCCAAACUGGGGUUCGACGAUUGGGUCACCAAUUUCGACGAUUGGGUCACCGAUUUCGACGUUUGGCUCACCAAUUACGACGUUCAAACCAAUUUCGACGUUUCCACCUAACCCCGACGACGAGAGUGCACUCCGCCGGGUCUUGAACUACCCGUUCCUGCCGCCCCCGGUCGAAAGCGGAAUCCUGCCACGCGACUCCCGGG